GAGAUACCCUUAUGGGACAGGACUUGCUUCAGUGGGCUUUGGUACUCACUGAGUCUGCCCCUUGAGUGUGUCUCU
rnacentral:pre_miRNA from 1 species